UCUAAUCAAGAUAAGAUUUCAACUCUUUACGAUUAUUGGAUUAGAUUUUCUUAUUGCAAUCUCAUCUGUCGGAUUGUUAUCUAUAUUUUUACCCUCUCACUGUAAAAAUAGAUGUCUAUUUCUCAUCUCUUAUUCCACAUCCAUCCUAUUUUCUCAUCUCUUAUUUCUCUCUCUUUAGCCUGCAUCAGUUCCGACUUCUGCUGCCCCUCUCAAUGACAAUUACAACAACGAAUCAAUGAAUGGAUUUUGUUCUUCUGAGGUUGAAGAAUGGGCGAUGAGAGGUUGUGGGGAUGAGAUGGUCGUCAGUGUUUUAUGCUGAAAAAAUAGCAACAGUGCAGUGGCUCUCCCUGAGCAGCUUGCUUCUUUACAAGUUACGGCCGAAGAUCUACACCGACGAUUCUGAAGCACACAUAUGAUUCAAACGUAUAACAAAUAUCAAAUCCAACAAUGAUACAACAACAAACGAAGAUAUUAUUUCGGUUAUCCGCGCUGACUGGGUUGCCAUCUUGACAGCCUCGCCCAGCUUGAUUCGCAGACCCGCCGAGGCAAGUCAUUGAGAGACUGAAAACACAUUAAACUUCUCUAACGCAAUUUUACCACACCAUACCCUCUCUGUCUCGACCACAUCACAGACAAACUACACACACCUGCUGCUAUCUCUCUCUCAUUCUCUCGAUCGAGCGACUCUCGAGCCCAAAAUCGAGGUGUUGUCAUGGCAUCUAAACGCAUCUUGAAGGAGCUCAAGGAUUUGCAGAAGGACCCCCCCCUACCUCAUGCAGUGCUGGUCCUGUGGCCGAGGACAUGUUCCGUUGGCAGGCGACAAUUAUGGGACCUGGUGAUAGCCCAUACACAGCUUUUGCUCUUUCGUUUGUAUGAUGCUCAGACUCGUUUCUUGGUAAAAGUUUCACCGACUCUCUUGGUGAACUUGGAAAUCUGAAGCUUGAAUACUUAUCAAGACUAUAGUGGAUCCGCUCUGACACUUAUAGAAUCGUUGUCCAGGUUUGACAGAUUAUGGCACAUAUACGCUUCUGUUAUUCUGUAAUCUUAAGUAUAUAUGCUUUAAGUUAUUGCAACGUUAUCCUCAACUUUGGUGUUUUCUUCAUGCUGUAUCAUAUAAUUUGUCCGCCCGUCAUUCUGAUGCAAAAAAAUUCUCUCAGCCUUGUCAUUAUGGGUAACAACACUGAAUUUGAAAGUGCAAUUGUUUGACCUUCCUCAAGAAUUUGAAAUUCAAUGUCAAUGCGAGGGUAAAUCUCUUUGAGGUAUCUAUUGACGAGCUUGUCGAAAAGCUUGUUUUGGUUAAGUUACUCUGAUAUUCAAAAGCAAUAUUUAUUGUCGUUCUGGUUCUCUUUUUCACUUGAUUGCUCUAUGUGGUGCAACAUAAGAGUACUUGGAGGGCUUGUUUCAGCUCAUUUACUUCCGACUGAUUCGACAAACAGGCUGGGUCAAGGAGUUUAAUCAGCUGCUUACCUUGGCUGAGGACUUAGGGAAACGCUUCCUACCUGCGUUUAACACACCCACUGGAUUGCCAUAUGCAUGGAUUAACAUACAGUGUGGAUGGAGUGAUGGAGAAAGAGACUACUGAAAUUAGCACUUCAGGGUGCGGAGCAUUGUCCCGAUUGACUGGAGACCCCAAAUAUGAAUCGGCAGCUUUAUGUGCUCUUUGUGAAUUAUGGGGCACGUGGAGUUCGUUGAAUUUACUCGGUACAAUGCUGGAUGUAUCAACUGGUGAAUGGAUUGUGUAUUCAUCCGGAAUUGGAGCUGGGGAUGACUAUCUAUUUAAGGGCCACAUCCUUGUUGGAAAUGAGUUCUGGAGGAUGUUUCAUUCUGCUGUGCAGAAAUAUUUCAGACAUGGUCCAUGGUCCAUGGUAUAUUGAAGUGGGGGAGUCAAUUCUAAAUUCUCUGAACCUAUACACCAAAGUGGAACGAGGUUUUGCUAACAUCAGAGAUGUCACAACUACGCAGUUGGAAGACCAUCAGCAUAGUUUCUUCCUUGCUGAGACGUAAGAGUUGUUUUUCCCUUUCCUUGCUGAGACGUAAGAGUUGUUUUUCAUUGUUUAAAUACAAUAUAGCACAAUUUGAUUCCAACUAACGAAGAAGGAAAAACAAUCUGUAACGGGUAUUAUAAUCUUAAGCAGAUUACAAUUUGAUUUCAAUUAACAUUUUUCUUGCCUC